AGAGUUUGAUCCUGGCUCAGAUUGAACGCUGGCGGCAGGCCUAACACAUGCAAGUCGAACGGUAACAGGAAGCAGCUUGCUGCUUCGCUGACGAGUGGCGGACGGGUGAGUAAUGUCUGGGAAGCUGCCUGAUGGAGGGGGAUAACUACUGGAAACGGUAGCUAAUACCGCAUAAUGUCGCAAGACCAAAGAGGGGGACCUUCGGGCCUCUUGCCAUCGGAUGUGCCCAGAUGGGAUUAGCUUGUUGGUGGGGUAACGGCUCACCAAGGCGACGAUCCCUAGCUGGUCUGAGAGGAUGACCAGCCACACUGGAACUGAGACACGGUCCAGACUCCUACGGGAGGCAGCAGUGGGGAAUAUUGCACAAUGGGCGCAAGCCUGAUGCAGCCAUGCCGCGUGUAUGAAGAAGGCCUUCGGGUUGUAAAGUACUUUCAGCGGGGAGGAAGGGAGUAAAGUUAAUACCUUUGGCUCAGCGAACGGUACCCGCAGAAGAAGCACCCGACUAACUCCGUGCCAGCAGCCGCGGUAAUACCGAGGGUGCAAGCGUUAAUCGGAAUUACUGGGCGUAAAGCGCACGCAGGGCCGGGUUUUGUUUAAAGUCAGAUGUGAAAUCCCCGGGGCUCAAACCUGGGAAACUGCAUCUGAUACUGGCAAGCUUUGAGUCUCGUAGAGGGGGGGGUAGAAUUCCAGGUGUAGCGGUGAAAUGCGUAGAGAUCUGGAGGAAUACCGGUGGCGAAGGCGGCCCCCUGGACGAAGACUGACGCUCAGGUGCGAAAGCGUGGGGAGCAAACAGGAUUAGAUACCCUGGUAGUCCACGCCGUAAACGAUGUCGACUUGGAGGUUGUGCCCUUGAGGCGUGGCUUCCGGAGCUAACGCGUUAAGUCGACCGCCUGGGGGAGUACGGCCGCAAGGUUAAAACUCAAAUGAAAUUGACGGGGGCCCGCACAAAGCGGGUGGGAGCAUGGUGGUUUAAUUUCGAUGCAACGCGAAAGAACAUAACCUGGUCUUGACAUCCACGGAAGUUUUCAGAGAUGAGAAUGGUGCCUCCGGCAACCGUGAGACAGGUGCUGCAUGGCCUGUCGUCAGCUCGUGUUGUGAAAUGUUUGGAUUUAAGGUCCCGCAACGAGCGCAACCCUUAUCCUUUGUUGCCAGCGGUCCGGCCGGGAACUCAAAGGAGACUGCCAGUGAUAAACUGGAGGAAGGUGGGGAUGACGUCAAGUCAUCAUGGCCCUUACGACCAGGGCUACACACGUGCUACAAUGGCGCAUACAAAGAGAAGCGACCUCGCGAGAGCAAGCGGACCUCAUAAAGUGCGUCGUAGUCCGGAUUGGAGUCUGCAACUCGACUCCAUGAAGUCGGAAUCGCUAGUAAUCGUGGAUCAGAAUGCCACGGUGAAUACGUUCCCGGGCCUUGUACACACCGCCCGUCACACCAUGGGAGUGGGUUGCAAAAGAAGUAGGUAGCUUAACCUUCGGGAGGGCGCUUACCACUUUGUGAUUCAUGACUGGGGUGAAGUCGUAACAAGGUAGCCGU
rnacentral:rRNA from 1 species